UUGGAAUGAAGCGGGUGAAAAGGGAAACAGGUGAGAAUCCUGUGCGAACUCGUCACUGUGAGCGGGGAGCUGCCGGCUAUGUGUCACUGGAUUUUCCGGAAUCCGGGAAGGCGGCCGGCGGCGUUGAUCUACAGCCAGGAGACCUGCCUGCUGCU
rnacentral:ncRNA from 1 species